rnacentral:rRNA from 1 species
AUUGAACGCUGGCGGCAUGCUUUACACAUGCAAGUCGAACGGCAGCGCGGGGGCAACCCUGGCGGCGAGUGGCGAACGGGUGAGUAAUGCAUCGGAACGUAUCCUGUAAUGGGGGAUAACGUAGCGAAAGUUACGCUAAUACCGCAUACGCUCGAGAGAGGAAAGUGGGGGAUCGCAAGACCUCACGUUAUAGGAGCGGCCGAUGUCCGAUUAGCUAGUUGGUGGGGUAAAGGCCUACCAAGGCGACGAUCGGUAGCUGGUCUGAGAGGAUGAUCAGCCACACUGGGACUGAGACACGGCCCCAGACUCCUACGGGAGGCAGCAGUGGGGAAUUUUGGACAAUGGGCGAAAGCCUGAUCCAGCCAUGCCGCGUGCGGGAAGAAGGCC